GGUGCCAUGACCGAGUGGCUAGGUAACGGUCUGCAAAACCGUCUACAGCAGUUCGAAUCUGCUUGGCACCUCUA
rnacentral:tRNA from 1 species